GAUCCUGGCUCAGGAUGAACGCUAGCUACAGGCUUAACACAUGCAAGUCGAGGGGCAGCAUGAACUUAGCUUGCUAAGUUUGAUGGCGACCGGCGCACGGGUGAGUAACACGUAUCCAACCUGCCGAUGACUCGGGGAUAGCCUUUCGAAAGAAAGAUUAAUACCCGAUGGCAUAGUUCUUCCGCAUGGUAGAACUAUUAAAGGAUUUCGGUCAUCGAUGGGGAUGCGUUCCAUUAGGUUGUUGGCGGGGUAACGGCCCACCAAGCCUUCGAUGGAUAGGGGUUCUGAGAGGAAGGUCCCCCACAUUGGAACUGAGACACGGUCCAAACUCCUACGGGAGGCAGCAGUGAGGAAUAUUGGUCAAUGGACGAGAGUCUGAACCAGCCAAGUAGCGUGAAGGAUGACUGCCCUAUGGGUUGUAAACUUCUUUUAUACGGGAAUAAAGUGAGGCACGUGUGCCUUUUUGUAUGUACCGUAUGAAUAAGGAUCGGCUAACUCCGUG
rnacentral:rRNA from 1 species